AGUGAACGCUGGCGGUAGGCCUAACACAUGCAAGUCGAACGGCAGCACAGUAAGAGCUUGCUCUUACGGGUGGCGAGUGGCGGACGGGUGAGGAAUACAUCGGAAUCUACUUUUUCGUGGGGGAUAACGUAGGGAAACUUACGCUAAUACCGCAUACGACCUACGGGUGAAAGCAGGGGAUCUUCGGACCUUGCGCGAUUGAAUGAGCCGAUGUCGGAUUAGCUAGUUGGCGGGGUAAAGGCCCACCAAGGCGACGAUCCGUAGCUGGUCUGAGAGGAUGAUCAGCCACACUGGAACUGAGACACGGUCCAGACUCCUACGGGAGGCAGCAGUGGGGAAUAUUAGACAAUGGGCGCAGGCCUGAUCCAGCCAUACCGCGUGGGUGAAGAAGGCCUUCGGGUUGUAAAGCCCUUUUGUUGGGAAAGAAAAGCAGCAGGUUAAUACCCCGCUGUUCUGACGGUACCCAAAGAAUAAGCACCGGCUAACUUCGUG
rnacentral:rRNA from 1 species